GAUGAACGCUGGCGGCGUGCCUAAUACAUGCAAGUCGAGCGAACGGACGAGAAGCUUGCUUCUCUGAUGUUAGCGGCGGACGGGUGAGUAACACGUGGAUAACCUACCUAUAAGACUGGGAUAACUUCGGGAAACCGGAGCUAAUACCGGAUGAUAUUUUGAACCGCAUGGUUCAAAAGUGAAAGACGGUUUUCCUGUCACUUAUAGAUGGUUCCGUGCUGCAUUAGCUAGUUGGUAAGGUAACGGCUUACCAAGGCAACGAUGCAUAGCCGACCUGAGAGGGUGAUCGGCCACACUGGAACUGAGACACGGUCCAGACUCCUACGGGAGGCAGCAGUAGGGAAUCUUCCGCAAUGGGCGAAAGCCUGACGGAGCAACGCCGCGUGAGUGAUGAAGGUCUUCGGAUCGUAAAACUCUGUUAUUAGGGAAGAACAUAUGUGUAAGUAACUGUGCACAUCUUGACGGUACCUAAUCAGAAAGCCACGGCUAACUACGUG
rnacentral:rRNA from 1 species